rnacentral:ncRNA from 2 species
AUGAGAGCAUAAGGAGAGACUGGCGCAUCGACGGCAGCGCCGAAGGAGUAAACCCGAAAGGGUGAAUCUCUCAGGCAAAAGGACUUUUGCAGGACG